GCCGAGGUGGCGGAAUAGGCAGACGCAGGAGACUUAAAAUCUCUCGCCAAUAGGUGUGCGGGUUCGAGUCCCGCCCUCGGCA
rnacentral:tRNA from 1 species